rnacentral:rRNA from 1 species
GCUUGUCUCAAAGAUUAAGCCAUGCAUGUCUAAGUAUAAAUUUUCAACUUUAAAACUGCGAAUGGCUCAUUAUAUCAGUUAUAGUUUAUUUGAUAGUCUCUUACUAUUUGGAUAACCGUAGUAAUUCUAGAGCUAAUACAUGCGUUGAUACUCUUUUUGGGUAGUAUUUAUUAGAUGGAAACCAAUCCCCUUGGGGUUAUGUGGUGAUUCAUAAUAAAAUUGCAAAUUGCAUGGCUAUGCCAGUGAUGGAUCAUUCAAGUUUCUGCCCUAUCAGCUUUGGAUGGUAGGGUAUUGGCCUACCAUGGCUUUAACGGGUAACGGAGGAUUAGGGUUUGAUUCCGGAGAGGGAGCCUGAGAGAUGGCUACCACAUCCAAGGAAGGCAGCAGG